rnacentral:rRNA from 1 species
CAGUAGCCGCGGUAAUACGAAGGGGGCCAGCGUUGUUCGGAAUUAUUGGGCGUAAAGGGUGCGUAGGCGGCUUGACAAGUCUUGUGUGAAAUCUAUGGGCUCAACCCAUAGUCUGCACGGGAAACUGUCGGGCUUGAGAAUGGGAGAGGUGAGUGGAAUUUCCGGUGUAGCGGUGAAAUGCGUAGAUAUCGGAAGGAACACCUGUGGCGAAAGCGGCUCACUGGACCAUUUCUGACGCUGAUGCACGAAAGCUAGGGGAGCAAACAGGAUUAGAUACCCGUGUAGUCCCUGUCUCUUAUAC